GCCCCUACGGGAGGCAGCAGUGAGGAAUAUUGGUCAAUGGACGAGAGUCUGAACCAGCCAAGUAGCGUGAAGGAUGACUGCCCUAUGGGUUGUAAACUUCUUUUAUAUGGGAAUAAAACGUUCCACGUGUGGGAUUUUGUAUGUACCAUAUGAAUAAGGAUCGGCUAACUCCGUGCCAGCAGCCGCGGUAAUACGGAGGAUCCGAGCGUUAUCCGGAUUUAUUGGGUUUAAAGGGAGCGGAGGUGGAUUGUUAAGUCGGUUGUGAAAGUUUGCGGCUGAACCGUAAAAUGGCAGUUGAAAUUGGG
rnacentral:rRNA from 1 species